CAUAGUUUAUUAGAUAGUUCCUUUACAUGGAUAACUGUGGUAAUUCUAGAGCUAAUACAUGCAACAAACGGUAACCUUUUGCGAGGGAGCCGCGCUUUUAUUAGAACAAAACCAAUCGCAUGAUGGCGAAAGCCGUUUUUGCGUCAUUUGGUGAGUCUGAAUAACUUGGCAGAUCGCACGGUCUUUAGCACCGGCGACGCAUCUUUCAAAUGUCUGCCUUAUCAACUUUCGAUGGUAGUUUACAUGCCUACCAUGGUGAUAACGGGUAACAGAGAAUAAGGGUUUGACUCUGGAGAGGGAGCCUGAGAGACGGCUACCACA
rnacentral:rRNA from 1 species